GGUACAACUCAGUGGUAGAGUGCUUGCCUAACAUGCAUGAAGCCCUGGGUUCAACCCCCAGAACCA
rnacentral:tRNA from 1 species